rnacentral:rRNA from 1 species
AAGGAAUAUUGGUCAAUGGACGCAAGUCUGAACCAGCCAUGCCGCGUGAAGGAUGAAGGUCCUCUGGAUUGUAAACUUCUUUUAUCUGGGACGAAAACGGGAUUUUUAUCUCAAUUGACGGUACCAGAGGAAUAAGCACCGGCUAACUCCGUGCCAGCAGCCGCGGUAAUACGGAGGGUGCGAGCGUUAUCCGGAUUUACUGGGUUUAAAGGGUGCGUAGGUGGGCUUAUAAGUCAGUAGUGAAAUCUCCGAGCUUAACUUGGAAACUGCCGUUGAUACUAUAGGUCUUGAAUUAUCUGGAGGUAAGCGGAAUAUGUCAUGUAGCGGUGAAAUGCUUAGAUAUGACAUAGAACACCAAUUGCGAAGGCAGCUUACUACAUAUAAAUUGACGCUGAGGCACGAAAGCGUGGGGAUCAAACA